rnacentral:rRNA from 1 species
UACAGAGGUCUCAAGCGUUGUUCGGAUUCAUUGGGCGUAAAGGGCGUGUAGGCGGCGCUGUAAGUCGGGUGUGAAAUUUCGGAGCUUAACUCCGAAACUGCAUUCGAUACUGCGGUGCUUGAGGACUGGAGAGGAGACUGGAAUUUACGGUGUAGCGGUGAAAUGCGUAGAGAUCGUAAGGAAGACCAGUGGCGAAGGCGGGUCUCUGGACAGUUCCUGACGCUGAGGCACGAAGGCCAGGGGAGCAAACGGG